UGGGGAAUUUUGGACGAAUUGGGCGAAAGCCUGAUCCAGCAAUGCCGCGUGUGUGAAGAAGGCCUUCGGGUUGUAAAGCACUUUUGUCCGGGAAAGAAAAUCCUUGGCUCUAAUACAGUCGGGGGAUGACGGUACCGGAAGAAUAAGCACCGGCUAACUACGUGCCAGCAGCCGCGGUAAUACGUAGGGGUGCAAGCGUUAAUCGGAAUUACUGGGCGUAAAGCGUGCGCAGGCGGUUUGCUAAGACCGAUGUGAAAUCCCCGGGCUCAACCUGGGAACUGCAUUGGUGACUGGCAGGCUAGAGUAUGGCAGAGGGGGGUAGAAUUCCACGUNUAGCAGUGAAAUGCGUAGAGAUGUGGAGGAAUACCGAUGGCG
rnacentral:rRNA from 1 species